rnacentral:rRNA from 1 species
AGAGUUUGAUCCUGGCUCAGGAUGAACGCUAGCGAUAGGCCUAACACAUGCAAGUCGAGGGGCAACACAUGAAGUAGCAAUACGGAUGGUGGCGACCGGCGCACGGGUGAGUAACGCGUAUGCAAUCUACCUACAACAAGGGGAUAACCCGUUGAAAGACGGACUAAUACCCUAUAAUACAGGGGUCCCGCAUGGGAAUAUUUGUUAAAGAUUCAUCGGUUGUAGAUGAGCAUGCGUUCCAUUAGCUAGUUGGUGAGGUAACGGCCCACCAAGGCAACGAUGGAUAGGGGAACUGAGGGGUUUAUCCCCCACACUGGUACUGAGACACGGACCAGACUCCUACGGGAGGCAGCAGUGAGGAAUAUUGGUCAAUGGACGCAAGUCUGAACCAGCCACGUCGCGUGAAGGAAGACGGCCCUACGGGUUGUAAACUUCUUUUGUAAGGGAAUAAAGUGAGUCACGAGUGACUUUUUGCAUGUACCUUACGAAUAAGGAUCGGCUAACUCCGUGCCAGCAGCCGCGGUAAUACGGAGGAUCCGAGCGUUAUCCGGAUUUAUUGGGUUUAAAGGGUGCGCAGGCGGGAGAUUAAGUCGGCGGUGAAAUUUUGCAGCUCAACUGUAAAAGUGCCAUCGAUACUGGUUUUCUUGAGUGUGGAUGAAGUAGGCGGAAUUUGUGGUGUAGCGGUGAAAUGCAUAGAUAUCACGAGGAACACCGAUUGCGCAGGCAGCUUACUAAACCAUAACUGACGCUCAGGCACGAAGGCGUGGGGAUCAAACAGGAUUAGAUACCCUGGUAG